UGAGGCAAAGAAGCCAAGGCGGGCAGAGCAGUCUGCAGGAAGAGGGAAGAUAACUGGGGAGUUUGUCAGCUGGACUCGGCAGAAGUACACGGACUGAUCCUCUGCCCGCAAGUUCUGGAUUCUGAGGGAGCCGGAAGUCUCACCCUUUGUCCAGUUCAGGGAGAGCCGGUUCUUAAAACCCUUACAGGGGUGAUAGAAGGAGAAGGAGAUGUCAAUGGAGCCACCCACGGGAGCAGACAGGUGUGCUGGCUGAAUGACCCCAAA